GAUGAACGCUGGCGGCGUUCCUAAUACAUGCAAGUCGAGCGAAGCGGGGACGGGUGAGUAACACGUGGAUAACCUCCUAUAAGACUGGGAUAACUUCGGGAAACCGGAGCUAAACCGGCUACUUAUAGAUGGAUCCGCGCUGCAUUCGCUAGUUGGUAAGCUAACGGCUUACCAAGGCAACUAUGCAUACCCGACCUGAGAGGGGGAUGGGCAACAGGGGAACGGAGACACGGUCCAGACUCCUACGGAGGGCAGCAGGAGGGAAACUUCCGCAAGGGGCGAAAGCCUGACGGAGCAACGCCGCUUGAGUGAUGAGGGUCUUCGGAUCUUAAAACUCUGUAAUUAGGGAAGCGGUACCUAAUCAGAAAGCCACGGCUAACUACGUGCCAGCAGCCGCGGUAAUUC
rnacentral:rRNA from 1 species